AUUGAACGCUGGCGGCAGGCCUAACACAUGCAAGUCGAGCGAGCGGCGGACGGGUGAGUAAUGUAUGGGGACUGCCCGAUAGAGGGGGAUAACCACUGGAAACGGUAGCUAAUACCGCAUACUAUCGGAUAACCCAUGUGGGAUUAGCUAGUAGGUGAGGUAAUGGCUGACCUAGGCGACGAUCCCUAGCCGAACUGAGAGGGUGAUCAGCCACACUGGGACUGAGACACGGCCCAGACUCCUACGGAGGCAGCAGUGGGGAAGAUUGCGCAAUGGGCGAAAGCCGGAUGCAGCCAUGCCGCGUGAGUGAAGAAGGCCUUCGGAUCGUAAAGUUCUUUUAGCAGGGAAGCGUUACCCAAACAGAAAGCACCGGCUAACUCCGUGCCAGCAGCCGCGGUAAUAC
rnacentral:rRNA from 1 species